GCUUCCGUGGCUCAGUUGGUAGAGCGGCGCAUUCGUAAUGCGUAGGUCAGGGGUUCGAGUCCCCUCGGGAGCU
rnacentral:tRNA from 22 species